rnacentral:rRNA from 1 species
AGCGAACGCUGGCGGCAGGCCUAACACAUGCAAGUCGAACGAACCUUUCGGGGUUAGUGGCGGACGGGUGAGUAACACGUGGGAACGUGCCUUUAGGUUCGGAAUAACUCAGGGAAACUUGUGCUAAUACCGAAUGUGCCCUUCGGGGGAAAGAUUGAUCGCCUUUAGAGCGGCCCGCGUCUGAUUAGCUAGUUGGUUGAGGUAAUGGCACACCAAGGCGACGAUCAGUAGCUGGUCUGAGAGGAUGAUCAGCCACAUUGGGACUGAGACACGGCCCAAACUCCUACGGGAAGCAGCAGUGGGGAAUCUUGCGCAAUGGGCGAAAGCCUGACGCAGCCAUGCCGCGUGAAUGAUGAAGGUCUUAGGAUUGUAAAAUUCUUUCACCGGGGACGAUAAUGACGGUACCCGGAGAAGAAGCCCCGGCUAACUUCGUG